GGGCAAGAGGCCCGCGGCUGAGGGUGCGAGCCAGGCGCACUCUGGGAGGCCGCCGAGACACCCAAGGAGCCGGAGCCAGUCGCGAGGACGUGGCUCAUCUACCCAGCAUGGAUGAUCGGAUCGUCGACAGGCUCCGAGCUGCGUGAUCUGCAGUGGUCCUCAUCAACCACGGCAGUGCCCACGCAGUCGGGCUAGGUGUUACUUGUGUGGCCAGGAGGGCCACUUCCAGUCGGACUGCCUGAGGGGUCCAGCGUCAGCGCAAUCAUCGGCAUCAGCACUAGCUUCACCGGGUCCCAGCCAGGGGACGCCUUCUGCUCACUACUAGGCCGGGAGGCCAUCUGUCCAGAGACAGAUGGAGGGGCCACGACAGGCCCCGAGCGGGCGCAUGUACGCGGCCCAGACCGCGGAGGCGGCAGCGGCCGAGUUUGAGGCUACAGGUAUCAGUUUGUUUUGUGGCAUUCGAGUUGUACAUUGUUUGUUAUCGGUGCAUUGCAUCUGUUCUUUGAUCGGCUAUUUGCCGAGUUGCAUGGCAUUCCGUUAGCUUGCUGUUUGCG
rnacentral:lncRNA from 1 species